rnacentral:rRNA from 1 species
AUCUCUGUAGAGUCUGCAUAUCAAUAAGCGGAGGAAAAGAAACUAACAUAGGAUUCCCUCAGUAACGGCGAGUGAAGCGGGAAGAGCUCAAAUUUGAAAUCUUCAGGGUUCUACCUUGACGAAUUGUAGUUUAAAGAAGUGUUUUCUGUUGAAGUUUUGGUAAAAGUUCUUUGGAAUAGGACAUCAUAGAGGGUGAGAAUCCCGUAUUUGACCCUAUUUUCAGCUGUGUGAUACACUUUCAAAGAGUCGGAUUGUUUGGGAAUGCAGUCCAAAAUGGGUGGUAAAUUUCAUCUAAAGCUAAAUACUGGCGAGAGACCGAUAGCGAACAAGUACCGUGAGGGAAAGAUGAAAAGAACUUUGAAAAGAGAGUUAAACAGUACGUGAAAUUGUCAAAAGGGAAGCGUUUGACACCAGUGUUGUUUUCUCGAAAAUCAAUUAAAAAAGGCAGGAUUUUGUGUUGUAUUGACCUUAAUCAGCUUUCUGCACUCUUUUCUUGUCUUUUUUUUAAUGCACUUUUCGUUUAACAAGUCAACAUCAGUUUCUUUUGUUGUAAAAGGGUCAUUGGAAGGUGGCUUUCUUUUCGGAGAAAGUGUUUAUAGCCUUUGGCCUCUGCAAUCGGAGAGAUUGAGGUCUGCAGCGUAGAUCCUUCGGGGUUAGAUACAUUUGUGCUAAGUUAUAGCCUUUCAUAGACAACUUGUUGACUAUGAUCAGUCAUGUAGCUUACUCGCUUAUGCUAUUUUACCUACGCUUAGGAUGUUGAUAGUCACAGCGUGUAC